rnacentral:rRNA from 1 species
CGUAUCACCCAAGACAACUUUACGGAGUUGACGAUUGACGGAGCGAAGCGACGUCAAAGCGUUCAUUAAAGUCGAGUUGGCUUAGGGAUACGUUCGUUGGGUAGGGGAGCGUUCUGUAAGCCUGUGAAGGUGGCCUGUGAGGGUUGCUGGAGGUAUCAGAAGUGCGAAUGCUGACAUAAGUAACGAUAAAGCGGGUGAAAAGCCCGCUCGCCGGAAGACCAAGGGUUCCUGUCCAACGUUAAUCGGGGCAGGGUGAGUCGACCCCUAAGGCGAGGCCGAAAGGCGUAGUCGAUGGGAAACGGGUUAAUAUUCCCGUACUUGGUGUUACUGCGAAGGGGGGACGGAGAAGGCUAUGUUGGCCGGGCGACGGUUGUCCCGGUUUAAGCGUGUAGGUGUGUGUUCCAGGUAAAUCCGGUUCACUUUAACACUGAGGCGUGAUGACGAGGCACUACGGUGCUGAAGCAACAAAUGCCCUGCUUCCAGGAAAAGCCUCUAAGCAUCAGGUAACAUCAAAUCGUACCCCAAACCGACACAGGUGGUCAGGUAGAGAAUACCAAGGCGCUUGAGAGAACUCGGGUGAAGGAACUAGGCAAAAUGGUGCCGUAACUUCGGGAGAAGGCACGCUGACAC